GAAUUUUGGACAAUGGGCGAAAGCCUGAUCCAGCAAUGCCGCGUGCAGGAUGAAGGCCUUCGGGUUGUAAACUGCUUUUGUACGGAACGAAAAGCUUUGGGUUAAUACCCUGGAGUCAUGACGGUACCUUAAGAAUAAGUCCCUGCUAACCUCGUUCCCGGCGCCGCGGUAAUACGUAGGGUGCAAGCGGUAAUCGGAAGUACUGGGCGUAAAGCGUGCGCAGGCGGUUUUGUAAGACAGAGGUGAAAUCCCCGGGCUCAACCUGGGAACUGCCUUUGUGACUGCAAGGCUAGAGUACGGCAGAGGGGGGUGGAAUUCCGCGUGUAGCAGUGAAAUGCGUAGAUAUGCGGAGGGACACCGAUGGCGAAGGCAACCCCCUGGGCCUGUACUGACGCUCAUGCACGAAAGCGUGGGGAGCAAACAGG
rnacentral:rRNA from 1 species